rnacentral:rRNA from 1 species
ACGCACGCUGGCGGCGUGCCUAACACAUGCCAGUCGAACGGAAAGGCCCUGCUUUUGUGGGGUGCUCGAGUGGCGAACGGGUGAGUAACACGUGAGUAACCUGCCCUUGACUUUGGGAUAACUUCAGGAAACUGGGGCUAAUACCGGAUAGGAGCUCCUGCUGCAUGGUGGGGGUUGGAAAGUUUCGGCGGUUGGGGAUGGACUCGCGGCUUAUCAGCUUGUUGGUGGGGUAGUGGCUUACCAAGGCUUUGACGGGUAGCCGGCCUGAGAGGGUGACCGGCCACAUUGGGACUGAGAUACGGCCCAGACUCCUACGGGAGGCAGCAGUGGGGAAUAUUGCACAAUGGGCGGAAGCCUGAUGCAGCAACGCCGCGUGCGGGAUGACGGCCUUCGGGUUGUAAACCGCUUUCGCCUGUGACGAAGCGUGAGUGACGGUAAUGGGUAAAGAAGCACCGGCUAACUACGUG